rnacentral:misc_RNA from 1 species
UUUGUUUUUUAAUUAAAAACUAGAAUGAAAGGUUAUACAUUCAAAUUUCUUUAUUAAUUUUUAAUAAAUAAUUUAUAUUAAAUAUAAAAAUAUAUUUAUAAAAAAAAAAGACGACAAGACCCUAUUAAAUUUUACUUAUAGUUUAGCUGGGGAAGCUUUUCAAUUAAAAUUUUUUAAUUUAAAUAAAUAAAAAUCUAAUAAAAUUAAAAUUUUAAUAAAUUACUAUAGGGAUAACAGCAUUAUAUUUUUUAAAAGUUCAUAUUAAAAAAAAUGAUUGUGACCUCGAUGUUGAAUUAUAUUUUCUAUAUUAAAUGCAAUAAUUAUAAAAGUAGAUCUGUUCGAUCUUUAAAAUAUUACAUGAUUUGAGUUCAAACCGGUGUAAACCAGGUUGGUUUCUAUCUUUUUAUACAUUUUUCUAGUACGAAAGGACAAAAAAAUUUUUAUUUUAAUAAAUUAGCAAAUAAAUGCAUUAGAUUUAGAAUCUAAAUACAAUUAAUAAUU